UUGAACGCUGGCGGCAUGCCUUACACAUGCAAGUCGAACGGUAACGGGCCUUCGGGUGCCGACGAGUGGCGAACGGGUGAGUAAUACAUCGGAACGUGCCCGAUCGUGGGGGAUAACGAGGCGAAAGCUUUGCUAAUACCGCAUACGAUCUACGGAUGAAAGCAGGGGACCGCAAGGCCUUGCGCGGACGGAGCGGCCGAUGGCGGAUUAGGUAGUUGGUGGGAUAAAAGCUUACCAAGCCGACGAUCUGUAGCUGGGCUGAGAGGAUGAUCAGCCACACUGGGACUGAGACACGGCCCAGACUCCUACGGGAGGCAGCAGUGGGGAAUUUUGGACAAUGGGCGCAAGCCUGAUCCAGCCAUGCCGCGUGCAGGAUGAAGGCCUUCGGGUUGUAAACUGCUUUUGUACGGAACGAAAAGCCUUCUUUUAAUACAGGAGGGUCAUGACGGUACCGUAAGAAUAAGCACCGGCUAACUACGUG
rnacentral:rRNA from 1 species